GGAAAGGUGGCAGAGCGGUUGAAUGCAUCGGUUUUGAAAACCGACGUGGUCUUUACGGUCACCGUGGGUUCGAAUCCCUCCCUUUCCG
rnacentral:tRNA from 2 species